GAUGAACGCUGGCGGCGUGCCUAAUACAUGCAAGUCGAGCGAACCACUUCGGUGGUGAGCGGCGAACGGGUGAGUAACACGUAGGUUAUCUGCCCAUCAGACGGGGACAACGAUUGGAAACGAUCGCUAAUACCGGAUAGGACGAAAGUUUAAAGGUGCUUCGGCACCACUGAUGGAAGAGCCUGCGGCGCAUUAGCUAGUUGGUAGGGUAAAGGCCUACCAAGGCGACGAUGCGUAGCCGACCUGAGAGGGUGAACGGUCACACUGGGACUGAGACACGGCCCAGACUCCUACGGGAGGCAGCAGUAGGGAAUCUUCGGCAAUGGGCGAAAGCCUGACCGAGCAACGCCGCGUGAAUGAUGAAGGCCUUCGGGUUGUAAAAUUCUGUUAUAAGGGAAGAAUGGCUUUAGUAGGAAAUGGCUAGAGUGUGACGGUACCUUAUGAGAAAGCCACGGCUAACUACGUGCCAGCCGCCGCCGUAA
rnacentral:rRNA from 1 species